AACGAACGCUGGCGGCAUGCCUAACACAUGCAAGUCGAACGAGACCUUCGGGUCUAGUGGCGCACGGGUGCGUAACGCGUGGGAACCUGCCCUUAGGUUCGGAAUAACUCCCCGAAAGGGGUGCUAAUACCGGAUAAUGUCUUCGGACCAAAGAUUUAUCGCCUUUGGAUGGGCCCGCGUUGGAUUAGCUAGUUGGUAGGGUAAAAGCCUACCAAGGCUACGAUCCAUAGCUGGUCUGAGAGGAUGAUCAGCCACACUGGGACUGAGACACGGCCCAAAUCUCUCGGGAGGGGAGAAGGGGGGAAUAUGGAACGAUGGGCGAAAGACGAAGGCCUAAGGGCCGUGAAAGUGUGGAAGGCGUGAGGGUUAAAAGGGUUUUUAACCCGGGAUGUCAAGACGGGACCCGGGAAAAAAGCCACGGGUAACCCCGGG
rnacentral:rRNA from 1 species